GAGAGAGAGAGAGAGAAUGAGAACAUACCAGGAAGUAAAAAUGAAUGACUGUUUCCCAGGUGGAUAUCCACUUAGCCAUGGAAUUUGUUGCAUUGCCCUGUUGCUACCCAGGUUGGAAAAGAACCCUGGACAGAGAAGACAAGAAGGGAGAUGGCCCGUUGCAGAGUCACGGAAGGCUGGCGGGUUGCUGUGCUGUGCUGAGAAUGACU